rnacentral:misc_RNA from 1 species
UUUCCGUAGGUGAACCUGCGGAAGGAUCAUUACUGGGUUUGGCUUCGGCCGUCUCCCACCCUUGUCAUUUGAACUGUCGUUUCGGCGGUUGGCGCGAGCCUCCGCCGGCAGUAACUCUUCAGUAUUAGAAGUCUGAUAGUACAAAAAUCAUACAAAACUUUCAACAACGGAUCUCUUGGUUCUGGCAUCGAUGAAGAACGCAGC